UACGGAGGAUCCGAGCGUUAUCCGGAUUUAUUGGGUUUAAAGGGUGCGUAGGUGGAGAUUUAAGUCAGUGGUGAAAGCCUGCAGCUUAACUGCAGAACUGCCAUUGAUACUGAUAGUCUUGAGUUUGGUUAAGGUAGGCGGAAUGUGUAAUGUAGCGGUGAAAUGCUUAGAUAUUACACAGAACACCAAUUGCGUAGGCAGCUUACUGAGCCGACACUGACGCUGAGGCACGAAAGCGUGGGGAUCGAACAGGAUUA
rnacentral:rRNA from 1 species